rnacentral:rRNA from 1 species
AUGGCACUGGAACUUGCUGCUUCAUAUUCUCAGCAAAAUGUUUCUAUGGUGGCCCCUUCUCAGGAUGAAUGUGGUCUUGAUCCUGUUGAUCAUGAACCUAACUACGAUCAAUCUCUGAAGAUCUCUGAGGUGGUGGGAGAGGUGGAAGAAAACACGAAGACCUCCAAGGAUUACACGAUACAACUUCCUCAUCCUGAUUGCGAGGAGAUUAUUCCUACACCACCACUUUCCCUUGAGCUACAUCUUCGGUUCAGCCAACGCAACACACACCUUCAUCACAUGGAUAUGGAGGCGAGGGCCACCCAUCUAGCCAAUGUCAAAAACUUGAAAGGUCUGCAAGCUGGGGACGACAUCAAGCAACUUCGAGCGGGUGCUGAGAUGAUUCGCAACGGGGCCCUGCUGCUGAUGAGGGCCUGCGACGCGUCCAAGGGUGGAAUGUGA